rnacentral:lncRNA from 1 species
CCUCAACAAGAUGGCCGGAAGAACCCGCGACGACGCCUGCAGGGCCGCCUGCCUUGGGUACUUGAACGUGUGAAUAACCGGCCAUUCGCGACUCCAGCGGCCCAGGCACACGUUCCCCCCGGGUAGGUGUGUGGAGCGGCCGGGGCGUAGCCACGGCACCAGCCCAGGAGGGAAAGACGGAGAGGUACGGACGUCGCCCGCCAUCUCUCCGGAAGCUCCUGCCGGGCUGGGACCCCGGCGGAAAGUCUUGCCGAGAGGUCGCCCCCUGCCGCCGUGGAGGCCGUCGGCCAGAGCGACCGGAGGCGGAGUUUGCAGCCUGGCAAGGAGAAUGGAGCGCUCCGGGGUUGGGCGGGCGGGGGAGCCGGGAGCCGGGCGCCUAGAAUGGAGUUCCCCCGGGAGGAGCCCGAAGCAGCGUCCUUCCGGGAGCACCCAGGGAAGAACCUGGAGGUCCAACCUGUGGGCUCUUAAGAGAAGGGAGGCGGCCUAUCGAAAGUCCUAGAGGCCCGAGGUAACAGGGCUUCAGGGGCCACUAGUACGUCUUUCCUGCUGACACCUCAGGCCUGUAACAGAAAACAGAAGCACCCAAGGAAUGUCAAAAGGCCACAGGAAUAAGUUUGAAGGGGCUGCCGUUGGUUGAAUUUUGUAUAAUUUGACAAGUAUUUAAAACAUUCAAUUAAAAAGAAUCCAUGGGUUCAUAUUACCACAACUACUACACUAAUAUUAAUAUAAAAGGAGAGAGAAGUAAAGAUGCUUUUUCAAAACAGUAGAAUGACAACCAAUAAAUAUAGGAAUUAUAAAAUUGGAAAUCCACCAUUUUGCAGCAAUCGUGGUAAUAAUUGAUUCAGCCAAGAAUCACCAGUGGAAGCUGAAACUAUUAGGUGAAAGACUGGGAAUAGGUUAUUCACACAGUCUUAAAGUAACACCUCCUGGAUUACUUAUUAAUUAUAAAGGGGAAAUUUUUCAGGCAAUGGAGACAUUUGCUGGACAUUGCCUUAGCCAAAAGUCAAACUUAGCAUUUCCAGUAAUAGGACAAACUGAGACUGUGUGCCUCCUGGUGUGAGGAACAGGAAGAACACACAUCAUCUGGGUAGUAUUUCUAAUAGGCUCAACCUGAUUAAUGAAGAAACAAUCAGACAAAUCAAAAUUGAGGAACAUUCUGCAAAGCAAUUGACUUGAGUUCUUAAAAGAUGGCAAUAUCUUUUUUUUUUUUUUUUUUGAGAUAGAGUCUCACUCUGUCUCCCAGGCUGAAGUGCAGUGGUGCGAUCUCGGCUCACUGCAACCUCCGCCUCCCCGGUUCAAGCAAUUCUCCUGCCUCAGCCUCCGAAGUAUCUGGGAUUACAGGCACGUGACACCAUACCCAGCUAAUUUUUGGAUUUUUAGUAGAGCCAGGGUUUCACUAUGUUGGCCAGGGUGGUCUCAAACUCCUGACCUCAAGUGAUCCCGCCUCAGCCUCCCAAAGUGCUGGGAUUACAGGCGUGAGCCACCGCACCCAGCCAAAAGUUGGCAAUAUUGUGAAAGAACAAAGUGAUAGGGCAGCAGUCUGCAGAUCAAAGAAGGGUCAAGAAACUACAACUUACAUGCAUGGUGUGAUUCUGGACUGGAUCUUGGUUUGAGUCUUGGUUUAGGAGGAAAACACAAUUAUAAGAGACAUUAUUGCAAAAGUUGGAUAAAUUUGAAUAUGAACUCAAUAUUAGAUAAUAUAUCAGUUUCCUGGGUGCAAUAAUUUUAUGUAGUUAUGAAGGAGAAUGACUGUUCUUAGGACAUACAGACAAAAGUAUUUACAGGAGAAGUGUCUUGAUGUCUGCAACAAAUUCCCAAAUGGUUCAUAUAUAUGUGUUAUAUAUAUGUUUAUAUAUAUGUAAAUGUAAAUAUAUGUGUGUGUGUAUGUGUAUUCAGAGAGAAAAGCAAAUACAAUGUGACUUUUGAACAAUGUCAGUUAAGCAUUCUGACUAACCCACAUAUACAUUUUGACUCCCCAAAAACUUUACUAAUAGGCUACUGUUGACCAGAAGCCUUACUGAUAAUAUAGUUAUUUUGUAUGUUAUAUGUAUUAUAUACUGUAUUCUUACAAUAAAGUAAGCCAGAGAAAAGAAAAUAUUAAGAAAAUCGUAAUGAAAAUACAUUUACAGUACCGUACUGUGCUUACUGAUACUGUAAGUUUCAAUUGUCUUUUUAAGAUGAAUCGUCUGUCUGAAAUGGUGGGCAACUGCAGCUGCAGACCUCAAUCCAUGGUACAUAUCAAGCAAUUCAACUUGUUCUUGUAAUGUCAUGACUUGACUUUGCUUCUCGGGAGCACUUCCACCAUUACUAGAGGCACUACGUGUGGGUGC